GUGGAAGAAGAAGAGAGCUAUGGAGAUUCAUCUCCUAAUCCAUAAUUAAACUCUUGGUUUGAACGUUGUGUAAGGACACCAACCUACUCGAGGUGAUCGGGCACCGGAUCAGAGUUAGUGGCGCCGACCUGAACUCUCUUUUUUGUCAAGCCAACUAUUGCGCCUCACCACGAGGUUCCAAGCCAAUACGUGUCAAGUCUUUUUGGGUGGUUCAGAUUCACCCUUUAAAAAUCGGUCUAAUGGCAAGAGUGGUCUAUGACUUUUGUUUGAACUGUUUUGAUUACAUGAUUUAAUUCCCCAACUUGUGUUUCAUUUUGUAUAUAAGUGUUUAUGGACCUAAGUGUUUGUGCAUACAUAAAUAUUUGAAUGUGAGUUUGUACA